GUUUUCUUCAGCAGCUCUUAUCUAAGAUCAGAACAACAUAGAGAAGACGAGGAUGGUACCCGCACAGGCUGACACAGAAAUCUGUGAAGCGUUCCAUGCUUUU